AGUCGAACGCGAAAGCCCGCAGGGGUCAGUAGAGUGGCAAACGGGUGAGUAACACGUGGGUGACCUGCCUCAGAGUGGGGGAUAACGACCCGAAAGGGUCGCUAAUACCGCAUAACAUCCUGCUUUUGGAUAAGCGGAGAUCAAAGCCGGGGAUCGCAAGACCUGGCGCUUAGAGAGGGGCCCGCGGCCGAUUAGCUAGUUGGUGAGGUAACGGCUCACCAAGGCAACGAUCGGUAUCCGGCCUGAGAGGGCGGACGGACACACUGGGACUGAGACACGGCCCAGACUCCUACGGGAGGCAGCAGUGGGGAAUUGUUCGCAAUGGGCGCAAGCCUGACGACGCAACGCCGCGUGGAGGACGAAGAUCUUCGGGUCGUAAACUCCUUUCGAUCGGGAAAGAAUGUUCUCGGGCUGAAUAAUCCCGAGAAGUGACGGUACCGAGAGAAGAAGCCCCGGCUAACUCCGUGCCAGCAGCCGCGGUAAUACGGGGGGGGCAAGCGUUGUUCGGAAUUACUGGGCGUAAAGGGCGUGUAGGUGGCCAACUAAGUCCGACGUGAAAUCCCCAGACUUAACCUGGGAACUGCGUCGGAUACUGGAUGGCUUGAAUUCGGGAGAGGGAUGCAGAAUUCCAGGUGUAAGCGGUGAAAUGCGUAAUAUCUGGGAGGAAUA
rnacentral:rRNA from 1 species